UAGUCUGGGAUACCACUUGGAAACAGGUGCUAAUACCGGAUAAGAAAGCGGAUCGCAUGAUCAGCUUUUAAAAGGCGGCGUAAGCUGUCGCUAUGGGAUGGCCCCGCGGCGCAUUAGCUAGUUGGUAAGGUAAAGGCUUACCAAGGCGAUGAUGCAUAGCCGAGUUGAGAGACUGAUCGGCCACAUUGGGACUGAGACACGGCCCAAACUCCUACGGGAGGCAGCAGCU
rnacentral:rRNA from 1 species